GCGUCGGUACUCAAGUGGUCAACGAGGGGAGACUGUAAAUCUCCUGGCUUUAGCCUUCGUUGGUUCGAAUCCAACCCGGCGCA
rnacentral:tRNA from 1 species